UACACUCCUGCGGGAGGCAGCAGUGGGGAAUAUUGCACAAUGGGCGCAAGCCUGAUGCAGCCAUGCCGCGUGUAUGAAGAAGGCCUUCGGGUUGUAAAGUACUUUCAGCGGGGAGGAAGGCAAUACGGUUAAUAACCGUGUUGAUUGACGUUACCCGCAGAAGAAGCACCGGCUAACUCCGUGCCAGCAGCCGCGGUAAUACGGAGGGUGCAAGCGUUAAUCGGAAUUACUGGGCGUAAAGCGCACGCAGGCGGUCUGUCAAGUCGGAUGUGAAAUCCCCGGGCUCAACCUGGGAACUGCAUUCGAAACUGGCAGGCUUGAGUCUUGUAGAGGGGGGUAGAAUUCCAGGUGUAGCGGUGAAAUGCGUAGAGAUCUGGAGGAAUACCGGUGGCGAAGGCGGCCCCCUGGACAAAGACUGACGCUCAGGUGCGAAAGCGUGGGGAGCAAACAGGAUUAGAAACCCUGGUAGUCCCAU
rnacentral:rRNA from 1 species